AGUGAACGCUGGCGGUAGGCCUAACACAUGCAAGUCGAACGGCAGCACAGUAAGAGCUUGCUCUUACGGGUGGCGAGUGGCGGACGGGUGAGGAAUAUAUCGGAAUCUACUUUUUCGUGGGGGAUAACGUAGGGAAACUUACGCUAAUACCGCAUACGACCUACGGGUGAAAGCAGGGGAUCUUCGGACCUUGCGCGAUUGAAUGAGCCGAUGUCGGAUUAGCUAGUUGGCGGGGUAAAGGCCCACCAAGGCGACGAUCCGUAGCUGGUCUGAGAGGAUGAUCAGCCACACUGGAACUGAGACACGGUCCAGACUCCUACGGGAGGCAGCAGUGGGGAAUAUUGGACAAUGGGCGCAAGCCUGAUCCAGCCAUACCGCGUGGGUGAAGAAGGCCUUCGGGUUGUAAAGCCCUUUUGUUGGGAAAGAAAAGCAGCAGGUUAAUACCCCGCUGUUCUGACGGUACCCAAAGAAUAAGCACCGGCUAACUUCGU
rnacentral:rRNA from 1 species